GUUUACUGUGUAGAUGACAAUAUGAAGCGGAGCUAUCCAUCUGGCCAUGAAAAGAGAAAAAAGAAACAAAAUGAGAGUGAAAUGCGAGAACAGCACUCAGAUUUGUAGUCAUGUCAGCAUUAGGGGGUGAUGUACGAGAUGCUGUGUUGGCAGUCCUACCCGGGCUACCAGAGGAGAAACUACUCUCUCCUGAACAAGUUAGCAAGCAUAGGAGUUGAGUCCAAAUCUGACCUGCAGAUCUUCCUGAUCACAUCACUUCAAUACAGUGUUGCCGUCUCCUCAAUGCCUGGAAUCUGGAAGUUCUUCAAUUCAGUUCAGAGGAUUCUUCAUCUUUCGAGUCUAGUUCCUCAACCACACCAAGUGUAUCCAGCACAAACGGCUCCAGUUCAACUGUGGAUUUGUCAGUUUGGCCUUAAAACUUUGAAGUGCCAUGGAGUAGGAUGCCAUCUGGUAUUAAAACAGCCAUUGCACUGGGAAAAUGCCCUACAACUAAAGAUCGCAGUGAAUUAGUGAGAAUUGUUAUUAGUGAGAUGAGGCUGACAGAGUUAAAUCCAUCAAAAUCAGUGUCUGAUUGUGGCCAAAAAGAUUGUAAAACAGUAUCCACAAAGUUUUGCUGAUAUCCUGAGAGAUACAGGGUACAGGGAUCGGAACUGGCUAUGAAUCUCUUUUGACUCAACUAAAAACAAGAGUAGAACAUGUUAACCGUGGCUGCUUGCUCUCAAAACGCAGGAAACUUAAAAAGACCUCAAAUUCACCGGCAGAAGACGUUGCUCCAGGAUCUGCUGACCAGUACGGUUGUGUGAGAUGGCAGCCUUAGUGUCCUGUAAAGGAAACUGAGGAUAGUCUUAAAGAUAAACAAAAUGAAAUGAAGGCUCUCUAGUACUGAAGGGGGCCAGCUGGGGUAGAGCAAGCAUAUCUCAGUCAGUUAAUGAAAGCAACAUACUAUCUCCAACGGAAAUCCAUCAAUGCCUGUCCACUACCAUCCAUUGCUGAGUUGAAAAAUGACUGGCCAUACCUUUUCACACCUAAAGAACUGUAUAACCACUUUAGAUCACUUACAAAUAUCAGCAUUCUGUAAAAAGUUGAAACCUCCAUGGAAGAAAAGGGAAAGAUGGUCCUUCAGUUCAUUCAUUCAUUCAUCUUCUACCGCUUAUCCGAACUACCUCGGGUCACGGGGAGCCUGUGCCUAUCUCAGGCGUCAUUGGGCAUCAAGGCAGGAUACACCCUGGACGGAGUGCCAACCCAUCGCAGGUCGGUCCUUCAGUUUUUUCGACAAAAGCCAGCAGGGAGCAACUCGGAUGAGAUGCAGCACAUUAUAAUGGAAUUUGACAAGAGCAUGUGUGAUUCUUCGUCUUCUGUCACACUUUAAAGAGAAAUCUGCAGCACUCAUUCUUCAAGCCGAUGUGUCUGCAACAGCAGCUGAUGUGGAAAAACAUUUGACUCUUCCA